AUAAGUUGAAGGAAUUCCG
rnacentral:misc_RNA from 1 species